UUAUAAAAUAAUAAAAAUUACUUUCAAAUCCAAAUUCAAUUUACUAUAAAAAUAAAUAUCCUUAAAUAUAUUUAAUGUAACCCAUUUUUUCUUCUUUAUCAACUACACCUUGAUUUGAAUUAUUUUAUUAAUAAAAUUUUAAAUAUUAUACUUCUAAAAAAAUAUUUAUAUAACAACGAUAUGUAAACUAAAAAAAAAAGUAAAUUUUAUCGUGGAUUAUCAUUUAUAAAACAGGUUCCUCUGAAAAGAUAAAAUACCGCCAGAAUUUUUAAUUUUCAAGAAUAUACCUAAUACUAAUUUAAUAAUCAUAAUCACAUUUUAAAUAAUAGGGUAUCUAAUCCUAGUUUAUACAUAAAAUUUCUCAACUUCAUUAACUAAUAUAAAAUUUUUUUAAUAAUUGAAAUUUCACCUAACAAUUACCAUAUAUAACUUUAUAACCAAAUAAAUUGUAAUUAAAAAAAUUAAAUUAUACUAUUUG
rnacentral:rRNA from 1 species